CCUUAAUCCCAGAGUGUGGCGCACGUGAGAGGGGAGGAGGUUCCUGGGGAUGAGCAGCCAGCCAUGGAGGCAAUAACAGGAAGGGUGGCCGUCGCCCGUGCAUCGCCUAGACAGAGCUUGGGGGAGGCUCUCUUCCUCUCGUCUGCAUCUCUUUCCUGAUGAAAUCAUGAAAGCAUAUGAUAAAUCAAUUUUAAGAAAAUAAAACAUUUCUAGACUUGAAUCCAGCGGUAAACCUACAUAUGCCAGCAGCAGGAAACCACAUGAACCGAUGCCUUGACUGCAUACCACACACCCGUGAGACAUGGGGAAUCAAACCAGAAAAAAAAUUCAUGAGAGGUGACACAAGCGCAACGUACCAACGAUGGCCGCCGCCAGAGUGGAUCGGAGAAGGGGAUGAGCCUACGGGCUGGGUGCUC
rnacentral:lncRNA from 1 species